GGAGGCGGCCGGCGACUGCUCGAACCGAGCACCACGUCACGGCAUCCCGGCGCGUCCUAGCCAGGGGACCCCAGAGCGGGGCCGCAACGCAUCGGAAACCCGGGCAGUAGUUUCCGGAGCCCGCUCGGGGAACCAGGAUCUUGUAGGAUCCUUCCCCACUCAAGUGUCAAGGAGACAAGCCCGCCCCGCCCCCUCUCCAAACACGCACUCCCUAGCAGCACCACAACAAGAGCAGCCAGCCCAGGCUCCUCACCCGGACCUCUCGGCGCCGGUCCCAAUGUCAAGUCCACGACCCAAGCCCCUCUGGGCCAGUAGCUGUUGUCAGGGGUCCCGGCCGGCACCCGCGCCUCACUCCCUCCCCAGCGGAGAGGACAACCGAGAGAGAGUAAGCCAGCGGAUACCCAGCCAGACGACCUGGACUCACCGGGAGUCUCCCAGAGCUAAACCCCCAGAGUCCCAGCACCAGGCCAGCCAGAGUCCCCCUGAGUCCACCCCGGGGAGCCCCACGAUCCCGUUAGGAAACAACGGAGGAUGGGGCUGGGAGCCCCAAGCCGGGCUCCGAAUGCUUGGCCCGGCGCUCCUCUAGCCUGGCUGGCCUGCCAGCUCUUCCCAGGACCCUGCCUGAGAGUCACCCACCUGCCCGGCCUUUCGGGGCUCAUCUAAAAGGCUCCUCCGCCAAGACUAGGGGACACCAGGAAUUGGGUUUGUUUGCGGUGCCUCUGAAGGGGCAAGAUGGCGACAGGUAACAGGGCGCAGGCGCAGCCGCGCGCGGCCAGUCGGGAGGUGUAGUUCGCUUUUCCCGCCUUUCGGAGAACAAACACCAAAAGGCCUCCAUUCAUCUUGUCCUUCUUUUCCUCCGCGUUAUGAAAGAAAAGGACAGACAUCGCGGAGGGUGCUGGGAGUUGUGGUCCGAAUCCAAACUCCAACCUCUUUCGCUCCAGGUUUGCUGUCGUACGCGCAAGGAAGGCCGGGAUUGUAGUUCCCUUGGUUUCUCCUGCAUACCCUCCUGUCUCUGGCUUCGCGCGCCUCUCCUGGGCUGCCGUCUCCCAGCCAAUCGGCUGCGCUCUCUGCUACGUGUGGCGUCACACGUAGCGGCCAAGAUGGCGCUAGCGGUUGGAGCAGGGGCUCUGCUGCGACCUUUACGGUAGUGAGGUUAGGGACGAUGGGAGAGCAGCUUUGUUCCUGAAGUGCCGUCGAGGAUUAGGAUCGAGUUUCUUCGAUCGUGAGGGCAAUUAUUAGUGGCCUCUAGCCCCCCAGAUGGCAUCUUGAGGAGAGAGAAUCCACGCUACGAGAACUAACAUAGUGGACAUCGCAGUUGUCCGUAGCCGAUUUGCGGGUUACGGAGUUGUUGCAAGUAAAGAAGGGGAAAUCCGAGCGUUCUCGCGUUGGAUUUCCUCCACGUGUGAAGUGGGAAUGGUAGUGAUAUCUCGUGCUAUCUCUGUCAAGGGCAAGAAGGAGAAGGAAUUUAUUUGAGGCCCUACGACGUGGUAGGUUCACCCUCAGCCUUUGUUCUUAUUUCAUCUUAUUUGUGGAGAAGGUCUUUUCGUUCCUAUUUUACAGGUGAGAAAAGGGGCCCAAUAUAUAGUUAUUUGCGGCCAUAAAAUAGAAGCCAGUUGCCUGAUACUGAAGAUUCAAUGAAAUCUUGUGAUUGACUUCCCUCUUUAAAUUUUGUACUUUGGGUAACAUCGGAUCCGGUAGAAACGCUCGUCAGAAAGAGUUUUUAAUGUGCAUUCUACAAUUUCCAGACAUAGUUUCCUUCUUGAAAAAUUGGGUUAAUACUACCCUAUAGGGAUCUUGUGAUGCACCACGUAAACGUUGUAAGUUGUGAACCACUAUACAAACGUAUGAGACUCUUCAUGUUCUUGAGUGGAACUGUAGGUUAGGAAGAGAAGGUAAAUAACAGCAUUUAAGUUUCCUACUACUAUUUGCCCAUUAGCUAAAAAUACCCUCCGAGGUCUAGGAAAGUCACUGUUGUUGAAACCCAACCUACACCUUCAGAAAAUCGUAAAGUGGAACAUAUUAAUCACCAGGCCCUCCCUCCGCUGUCUCCCUGACCUUCCUAUGCAUCCAGUUGCUUAAGAACUCUUGGAAAGAUAGUAAGUGAAAUCUUCAUAGAGGAUUUUUGUACUUUAACAUAUAUUAUUUGAUUUGAGCCUCGCAACAUUUCAGUGUGACAGGUACGAUUAAGGUCUUUCAUACUAUGAAUGAGAAAAACAUAGAUGUACCAAGGACUCACCAAAUUUCACGGAGCUAGGAAUUGGAAGAGAGCUAGGCUUUGUAAUCCCAGGUCUUCUGACCUCCAAAUGUCCUUUCCUCUACAGUGAAUGUCAAAAUGACAAUGAAUGUCUACUCCUCUACAAUGGAGUACAAAUCGAAAGACAAGGGGCUUAUAAAACUGACUCUGACCUUAAGAAGUAGCAUAUGAGUGAUGAAUUAUUAUAGUCAAUCCUUGUGCUUACUAAGUGCCACAUACUGGUCUAAGCAUUUUACAUAGUAAUUCAGUCCUUAGAACAACUUUAUGAGGUGGAAACUUUUAUUAUCUCUAAUUACAAAGGAGGCAACUAAAGUCUAGGAAAGAAGCAAAAUAGCUUGCCUAAAGUCACACAUAAGUAAAUGGUGGCUCACGCCUGUAAACCCAGCACUUUGGGAGGCUGAGGCAAGUGGAUCAUUUGAGGUCAGGAGUUCAAGACCAGCCUGGCCAACAUGGUGAAAGCCCACCUCUACUAAAAAUACAAAAAUUAGCUGGGCAUGGUGGCAUGUGCCUGUAAUCCCAGCUACUCGGGAGGCUGAGACAGGAGAAUUGCUUGAACCAGGGAGGUGGAGGUUGCAGUGAGCCAAGAUCGCUCUACUGCAUUCCAGCGUGGGCAACAGAGCAAGACUCCAUCUUAAAAAAAAAAAAAAAAAAAAAAGCUAAAGCUGGGAUUUAAACCUGAUUAUGUUGGCUCCAGAGCCUAUGCUCUAGACCAGUGGUUCUAAACUUUAAUGGUCAAUAGGAACCGCUUGAGGAUCUUGUUAAAACGCAAAUAUUGGUAGUAUAGAUAUCAGGUAAGGCCUGGAUCCUAUAGUCUUAACAGGCCCCCAGGUGAUGUUGAUGGUGCUGGUCAUUACAUACUACAGUUCACAUCUUCCCUUUUCUCCUAACCGUAUUUAUUUUGCAGUCAGAAACUACCUUUCCCAUGCUGCCUGUGACUGCUUUAUAGUCUCAAAUGUUCCCAACAUGCUCUUCCUUAAGGAUUAGACUCAAACUUUUUCCUCAAAAAGCUUAUCCUGCCCCUGUCUUUCCCUCUAGGAUAAGACAGACAUCCCUGCCUCUGCUCCCCUACCACUCAGUGUACACCUUGUUACAGAGCUCAGAACACUGAAUUAUGGCCAUUUAUUUGAAAAUCUUCCUGGCCGGGCAUGGUGGCUCAUGCCUGUAUUCCCAGUACUUUGGGAGGCCGAGGUGGGCUGAUCACUUGAGGUCAGGAGUUCAAGACCAGCUUGGCCAACAUGGUGAAAUCCCGUCUAUACUAAAGAUAGAAAAAUUAGCCGGUCAUGGUGUUGUGCAUCUGUAGUCCUAGGUACUCUACUCGAGAGGCUGAGGCAGGAGAAUCUCUUGAACCCAGGAGGUGGAGGUUGCAGUGAGCUGAGAUUGCGCAACUGCACUUCAGCCUGGGCGACAGAGCAAGACUCUGUCUCAAAAAAAAAGAAAAGAAAAUCUUCCUGACUGGACAACGAGCUCUUUGAGGAGAGGAACCAAUCAGGUCUGUGUACUGUAGAGCCUAGCAUAUAAUAAGAAUAAUAGCUAAUACUUACAUAGGACUUUCUGUAUUCCAGAUCACGUUAUACACAUUAACUUGUUUAAUCUCUACUAUAACCUUACAGAUACACUUUUAUCCCCAUUUUAUGAAUGAAGAAACUAAGGCAUAGAGAGGUUAAAUAGCUGGCCCAAGGUAACAAGCUUGUAAGUAACAGAGCCAUGAUUUUAAAUAAAAGCACUUUGGCUCCAGGAAAUGUGUGGUGAAUUAAAUGAGAGCCACUCUACACUCAACCAAAGAAGGAAAACUGAGACUUACUAUCCUAUUAGACAUGAUUAUAACUACCUCUAGUCUGGGAAAAUACACAGAAAUCUGUUCCCCUGGCCAGGUGCGGUGGCUCACGCCUGUAAUCCCAACACUUUGGGAGGCCGAGGCAGGCGGAUCAUCUGAGAUCGAGAGUUCGAGACCAGCUUGACCAACAUGGAGAAACCCCGUCUCUACUAAAAGUACAAAAUUAGCCAGGCAUGGUGGCACAUGCCCGUAAUCCCAGCUACUCGGGAGGCUGAGGCAGGAGAGUAGCUUGAGCCCAGGAGGCGGAGGUUGUGGUGAGCCGAGAUCGCGCCAUUGCACAGCCUGGGCAACGAGCGAAACUCCAUCUCAAAAAAAUAAAUAAAAAUUUUUUUAAAAAAGAAAUCUGUUCCCCUUUGCUGGAUUUACUUUUUUUCCUUUCUGUCCUGGACCCCAUGGUUAUUUAUUUCAAAUUCAGUCUCAAUCAGUACUUUCAAGUUUAUUCAACCAUCUCUGUCCUUCCAUCGACCCCGAAAUAGUCCUCAACCUGUGAUCAGUUUCCCAUCUUUCCUCAUGUUUGAUAUAGCUGUUAGUUAACUCUUAGUGCAUAAGAAAAAUUAUCCCAAACUUUAGUGACUUAAAACAAGAAUAAUUUUUUAAAUUUUUAUACAGUUUUUGCAUUUUCUAUUGGAAUCAAGAGUGGCUUAGCUGGGUGGUUCUGGCUUGGGGUCUCCCAAGCAGUUGCAGCUAUCUGAAGGCUGACUGGGGCUGGAGGAUCAGCUUCCAAGGUACCUCACUCACAUUGGUUGGAAAGUCAGCAAGGAAAGAGGCCUCAAUUUCUCACUAUGUAGACCUCCCUAUAAGGCUGCUUGAGCAUCUUUGGGAUAUAGUAACUGGAUUGCCCCAGAGCAAGUGAUCCAAGAGUGUUACAGAAGCUAUAAUGUUGCAAUAUGUAUACAGAGAGAUUUAGAUAUAAAAUCAGAUUUUAUAUAUGUUUGUAUAAAUGUAUAUAAAACUCACGUACUCUGAAGGUGAAUUUGUACAAAGCAGUAAAGCUAGAACAACUGGUGGGAAUAAGUUGAAAUAAUACUGCGUAGCGUUUAUUACAGACCCAUUAUGAAAAGAACACCUUGCUUAUCUUAUUUAAACCUUACAACAUUCCUAUGACUUGGUAAUUAUUGUUCCAUUUUACAGUUGAGGAAACCAAGCCCUAGAGAAAACUCAUUUGUCCAAAUUCAAAUAUCACCAGAAGACUCUUCCCCCAAACACACAGGUGUUAAGGAGGUCUGGUUAUCUGUGAUUCCAUAACCAUUGCUGUGGCCUAAAUUAUCUGUUUUACUCAUGAAUCUCCAAUUUGGGUGGGACUUAGUGGGGACAGUUAAUCUCUACUCCUCUUGACAUCAGCAAGGGAAAUUUGAAGACUGAGGUCUGGAAUCUUAUGAGGGCUCGUUCAUUCAUAAGACCAGCAGUUGACAUUGGCUGUUGUCUGGAAUCAGUCACAGACCCACCCAGGUUCAAGGAAAGGGGAAAUAGAUUUUAUCUCUUGAUAGAAGCAUAGUAGCAUCCUGGAACACCAGAAUAUUACUGUGCUCAUUUUUAGAAAUAUCAACUGCCAUAGUCUAUCUUCUGUCCACAACAGUUCAUAUUCCUCCCACAUGCAAAUGGACUCAUUCCUACCACCCAAAGUCUUCCCAUUUUGGCAACAUGCUUAGGUUUGAGGUCCAAGAUCUUGUCACCUAAAUCAAGUCCAGAUAUGGGUUAGUUUUCUUAGGUGCAGUUGCUUUCAGUGUAAAGACUCGGGAACUAAAGAGACAAGUUACCUUUUCCCCACACAUCCAACAUACAAUGGUGGGACAGGCAUGGAAAAACCACUGUAGACCUUAAUCAGAAAGGGGAAUAAAGGAGGCACGCCAGGGCCACUGAUUCAUAACAGCUCUGAUGCUAGUUCCUUGAUCAGGAAUGAUCUCUAGGAAUGAUUCUCUACAGCUCUUGACUCUACCCUCAAGCCUCCAGGUUACGCUCUCAGAAGCAUUAAUGAUCUCUAGGAAUGAUUCUCUACAGCUCUUGACUACCCUCAAGCCUUUAGGUUCCGCUCUCAGAGGCAUUAAUGAUCUCUAGGAAUGAUUCUCUACAGCUCUCGACCCUACCCUCAAGCCUCUAGGUUCUGCUUUCAGAGGCUUUCUUUAUUUUCCAUAAAAUAUAGCCAGUGUUUGAGACCAAUUAUUUAUUUAUUUAUUUAUCUAUUUAUUUAUUUAUUGAGAUGGAGUCUCACUCUGUCGCCCAGGCUGGAGUGCAGUAGCACGAUCUCGGCUCACUGCAACCGCCGCCUUCCAGGUUCAAGCGAUUCUCCUGCCUCAGCCUCCCAAGUAGUUGGGACUACAGGCGUGCGCCACCAUGCCCCACUAAUUGUUGUAUUUUUAGUAGAGAUGGGGUUUCACCAUUUUGGCCAAGCUGGUCUCAAACUCCUGACCUUGUGAUCCACCCGCCUCAGCCUCCCAAAGUGCUGGGAGUCCAGGCGUGAGCCACCACACCAGGCCAUGUCAUUGUAUCUUUUUUAGAUGGAUGAAUAUUAAAUUUAUUUAUUUAUUAUUUUUUUUGAGAUGGAGUCUCGCUCUUGUCACCCAGACUGGAGUGCAAUGGCAUGAUCUUGGCUCACUGCAACCUCCGCCUCCCAGGUUCGAGCAAUUAACCCUGCCUCAGCCUCCCAAGUAGCUGGGAUUACAGGCACGUGCCCCCUCAUCCGGUUAAUUUUUGUAUUUUUACUAGAGAUGGGGUUUCACCAUGUUGGCCAGGCUGGUCCUGAACUCCUGGCCUCAGGUGAUCCACCCGCCUUGGCCUCCCAAAGUACUGGGAUUACAGGCAGGAGCCACUGUGCCCAGCCAUGUCAUGAUACCUUUUUUAGAUGGAUGAAUAUUAAAUUUAAAAAACAAAAUGAUCCGUGUGCGUAGAAGGAACUAAAGGGGAAAAAGAUCAAUCUGAAAACAAACUAUAUAGAACAGCAUACCAGCUUCAUACUAACAUGAUAAAAGCAGAGGCUUUGGGUAACCAAAAAGUAUGCUUUUUAAGCAUGAGAAUAAUUCUAAAGGCUAGCUAUAUCUUUUCUUUCUUCUAAAAAUAAUUUCAGUUAAAGAAUUUACAUAUAAAGUUCAUUUAUCAUCACCCACUGUGGGUGAAGCUCUGUCAGGCUCCGGAGAAACAAAUUACUAAACAUGAUCAACUGCCCUUCACAUACUCAUAAUCUAGUGGGGGAGACAGACACAUACACAGAUAAUUGCCAUACAAUAUGGUGUUCAUGGUAUUAGCAAGUGUGUUUUUUUUUUGUUGUUUUUUUUUUAAUUUUUUUUAGUUUCACUCUUGUCACCCAGGCUGGAGUGCAACUGGCGUGAUCCCGGCUCACUACAACCUCUGCCUCCUGGGUUCAAGCGAUUCUCCUUCCUCAGCCUCCCGAGUAGCUAGGAUUACAGGUGUGUGCCACCACGCCUAGCAAAUUUUUGUAUUUUUAGUAGAGAUGGGGUUUCACAAUGUUGGCCAGGCUGGUCUUCCAACUCCUGACCUCAGGUGAUCCAGCCGCCUCUGCCCCGCAAAGUGCUGAGCUUACAGGCGUGAGCCACCGCACCUAGCUGGUAUUAGCAAGUUGUAAGAAAAGAGUUCCUGUAAUCCCAGCACUUUGGGAGGCCGAGGCGGGCGGAUCACGAGGUCAGGAGAUGGAGACAAUCCUGGCUAACACGGUGACACCCCGUCUCUACUAAAAAUACAAAAAAUUAGCCGGGUGUGGUGGCGGGUGCCUGUAGUCCCAGCUACUCGGGAGGCUGAGGCAGGAGAAUGGCCUGAACCUGGGAGGCAGAGGUUGCAGUGAAUGGAGAUCUUGCCACUGCACUCCAGCCUGGGCGACAGAGUGAGACUCCGUCUCAAAAAAAAAAAAAAGAAAAGAAAAGAAAAGAGUUAAGGAGCCAUUAAUACUUCCUAGGAGCUAGUAAGGAAAAGUCACCAAGAAGACAGCAUGCAAGUAGGGCCUUAAAAGAUAGAAGUUCAACAGAAAAAGGAGGAAAGGCUAUUAAAAUCCGAGAAAGAAAUAGCAAUGGCCAACUCACAGGCAUAAACAUAAGAAUUUUGGGAAAUGCAUACAUUUCAGUUUAGCUAGGUGGGGGUUUGGGGGUGGCCUCAUUACCACUGGUUGGAGGUAAAAGUCCCAACUCUCCACUUGGCCUUGUCUGACACCAUCCCACCUGAGAAGGGAAGGGCACCUCUUUGCCACCAGGUACAGGUGAAAUUCCAUGUUUUACAUGUGGUGGGCUGACAAGUGUGAGGGGCAAGUAUUAGGAGAGGGCCUUGUUACUGUCCAUUGAGGAUGAAAGUCUAAGCUUCCCCCUGUGUAUUCUCUGACAUGAACCCAGAAAUGGAGAAAGGAAGUUGAGUGGUCUCAUUAGAACCUGGCCUUUGCUGGUGGGGGUGGGGGUUGGGUUGUAGUUUUUUUCCCGUGGUACUUAUCUGGAGUAGAGACAUUAUCAUCUAAAAAUGUUCUGUCUUGCAAAGCUGCUGCUUUCCUAGUCCUUUGACUAGACAGAGCAGGCUUUUCCUAGGGCUUUAAAAAAAAAAUGCUGUGCCCAUUGGCAUUUCUGGGUUGCCAGCUUCUCCAGUACCCAAUCUGGGAUAUAUAAAAGAAAACCCAGGGAACUCAUUUCUGUGUAUUCCUUGGGUUCCAGAUCCUUAGGUGGUCUGCCUUCUUGUCACCUUUCAGAUUCUUCUUACAUUUGUUUUAUGUAUAAUGUUUUACAUAUAGUGUCCAGGGUUUUUAGCUGCACCUAACUGAAGGAAUAGGGAAAAGUAAAUAUACUCUUUCUAUAAGUGGUAGUCUGAGGUCAAUUGAUUUGUUACAAAGCUGCCAAGGCAAUGCUCUGUGAAAGCCACCAUUAAAAGAAUGCAACAGUGGGCAACAAACUGGGAGAAAAAUACUUGUAGAACACUUAUCAGACAUAAGACUUGUAUCUAAGUAAGAAAACAACCCCAUUUUAAAAUAGGCAAAAGACGCUUCACCGAAGAGGAUAUACAGAUGGGAAUAAGCACAAGAAAACAUACUGAACAUGAUUAGCCAUAAGAGAAAUGCAAAGUAAAAUGACAGUGUCACAGCUGGGUGCAGAGACUGUCUCCAGAUGCUGAGACAGGAGACAUCUCCAGAUGCUGGGCUCACUUGAGCCCAGGGUUUCGAGGCUGUAGUGUGCCGUGCUUGCGUCUGUGAAUAGCCACUGCACUCCACCCUGGGCAAUAUGGUGAGACCCCGUCUCUUAAAUCAAAUAAAAUCAUGAUACAAUACCACUACCCACCUAAUAGAAUGGCUGAAAUAAAAUACAUUGACAACACCAGCUCCUGGUGAGGAUGCAGAGCAACUGGAACUCUCAUACAUGACUGAUAGGAAUGCAAAAUAGUAUGGCCACUCUAGAAAGCAGUUUGGCAUUUUCUUGUAAACUUUCAAACAGUUACUAUAUGACUCAGCAAUAACAUUCGUACACAUUUUGCCUAGAGAAAUGAAAAAUUUCACAUGAAAACAUGCAUGAGUGUUUAGAACAGUUUUGUUCUUAUUCACCAAAAACUGGAAAUAACCAAAUGUCUUUCAGUGAGUGAAUAAGUAAACUGUGGUACAUUUAUACAAUGGAAUACUACUGAGCAAUAAAAAAGAGGUAAGAUACACACAAGAAGUUGGGUGAAUCUCAAAGGCAUUAUUCUGAGUAAAAGAAGCCAAUAUCCAAAGGUUACAUACUAUAUGAUUCCAUUUGUAUGACAUUCUCCAAAAGGUACAAAUAUCACAACAGCAUACAGAUCAAUGGCUGCCAAGGGUUUGGAGUUGGGGGAGGGUGAUGGAACUGCUUUGUAUUUUGAUUGUAGUGGUAGUUACAAAAACUUUGUUAAAAUUUAUAGAACUGCCGGGCACAGUGGCUCACUCCUGUAAUCACAACACUUUGAGAUGCCGAGUCGGGAGGAUCAUGAGGUGAGGAGUUUGAGACCAGCCUGGCCAACGUAGCGAAACCCCGCCUCUACUAAAAAUACAAAAAAACAGCCAGGCGUGGUGGCGGGCACCUGUGAUCCCAGCAACUCAGGAGGCUGAGGCAGGAGAAUAGCAUGAACCCGCGAGGCGGAGCUUGCAGUGAGCCGAGAUCACGCCACUGCACUCCAGCCUGGGCGACAGAGUGAGACUCCGUCUCAAAAAAAAAAAAAAAAAAAUCUAUACCAUGAAAAGUAUGUGAUGCUGUAUGUAAUAUUUUAGAAUUUAUUUACUGUUUUUAUUUAUAUUGCUAAGAGUCAUCCAUAUUGUCGCAUGUUGCUAUGGUUCAUUUAUUUUAACUGUUGUUUCUCCAUUGUGUGAAUUUAUCCAUUUUUUCACCCAUUCUCCCAUUGAUGAACAUUUUAUUGUUUUUGUUCAUGUGAACAGUUUGCUCUGAAUAUUCUUGUUCAUGCCGCCUAUUGAAAUUAUGAAUUUCUCUAAGUCAUUUGAACCCAAGACUUAGAGAAAUUGUUGGGUCAACUUUUGUCCUAAAGUUAAAUAUUCAUGUGUUCAACUUUAGGAGAAAAUGCCAGGCCAUUUUCAAAUGUUAGACAUAAUAUUUGAUACUGUGAGAAUGAGAAUAAGAGUGUAAAAGUGGAAGCAUGGAGAUCAAUCUUUGGGAUGCUCCCACUGCACUCUGCUCUUUGUCCAAGAGACUUGGCCAAAUUCCCUCUUUUUUAGAAGCCUCACCUCCUCCCACACCAGGCACAAUCAGUUUUCCUCCUGUAGGUUCCCAAGGCACCUGUUUCAUGCCAUACUUUAGGUAAUUAUCAGACUGUAUUGAGAUAAUAAUUCCUUCUAGCAGGUAGGAAGCUUCUAGAAGGCAUAGGCCAAGAUUCUUUGUAUUCUCCAUGCCCAGGACCUAGAUGAGCACAAUAAAUAUUUCAGUAAAUGAACGUUCUUCCUCAAAUCUAUACCCCCACUUUCCCAGUAUCAGAUAAUGAAUGAAAUUUAUUCUUUCUUUAAUAAUAUAGAAUAUAAUUGCUUGUUUCCAUGGUAGUUGCCAAUGCCAAAGCUCCUUGAAGGAAGGAACUACACCCCUUUUUUAUUAUAUCCAGCCUUUAAUAUAGUGCUUGGCAAAUUGUAGAUUCUUGAAAAGCGUAUUGAAUAUGUUUAAUAAAUUGAAACUUGCAGCAUUUUAAGAGUGUUUAUUCACAGCCUGGGCAACAUAGUGAGACUCCAUCUCUAUAAAAACAUUUUUUAAAAAUUAGCCAGGUGUGGUGGCAUGUAUCCAUAGUCCUAGCUACUUGGGACUGAGGCAGGAGGAUUGCUUCAGCUAAGGAAUUUGAGGUUACAGUGAGCCAUGAUCAUGCCACUGCACUCCAGCCUAGGUGAAAAAGUGAAAACCUGUCUCAAAGAAAAAAAAAAGUGUUUAUUCUGAAUGUCAGUUACCAUGGUCCAAUGCUGGAGAUAAAAUGUAGAAGAUUUAGCUACUUAUAAAUAUGCCAUGAUGACCGUAGAACAUAUCCAUGCAUGUGGCUUAAAAAACAAAAAUAAAACAAUUCUUGGAUAUCAAAGGGUGAGAUUUCAUUUAUAUUAUAUAAAGUUCAAAAGCAGUUGAAAAUAAUCUAUAGUGAUAGAGGUCUGAAUAGUAAAUACCUUUAGGGAGCGACCUAUAGAACACGUGGGAGCCUACUAGGAUGCUAUCAAUCUUCUAUAUUUUGAUCUGAGUAGGGGCUAUAUGUAUAGAUAUUGCAUAUGUGAAAGUUUAUUAGGCUGUACGUAAAUGAUUUAUGUGCUUUAUAUAGAUUGUAUCUCAAUAAAAGUAAAAAGCACUAUAAUGGUGGAUUCGUGGCAUUAUACAUUUGUCAUAACCCAUAGAAUGGACAACACCAAGAGUGAACCCUGGUGUAAAUGAUGGGCUUUCAGUGACUGAUGCUAUGUCAGUGUAAGUUUAUUGAUUGUAGCAAGCACACCGCUUUGGUGCAGGAUGUUGAUAGUGAGGGAGGUUGUGCAUGUAUGGGGAUGGGAUAUACACAAUAUCCCCAAUUUUGCUAUGAACUUAAAAUUUCUCUAAAAAAUCAAGUUGAUUAAUUUUUUAAAAAGUGAAAAUUAAAACAGGGCAGGCAUGGUGGCUCAUGUCUGUAAUCCCA
rnacentral:lncRNA from 1 species